rnacentral:lncRNA from 1 species
GUGAUAACAUGUUAAUUAACUUGAUUUAGAUAUUCUACAAUGUAUUCAUAUGUCAGAACACUUAUGAUUAAUAUAUUUAAUUUUCACUUGGGAAGGAGAGGCAGGAGGGUCAGGAGUUCAAACUACAUAGUGAGUUCAAGGCCAGCCUGGGCAAAAUGGGACACUGUCUCAAAACAAACGAAGAAAUGAGCAACAAUAUUUAUUCAUGCAUGUAUGUCUAUGUUAUUUAUUAAGAAAAGUAUUUUAAAAUAAAAUUUUUAAAAAUGCCAUGUACAGAGUACUGUUUAUAGGGAGUUUAAAGAAUUCUGAGGCCAGCAAGCAAUCACCUCUAAGAGGACAUCUCAAGUCACUCUAUGUAUGUGGGCUUAAUCUUUAGAGCUGAGUAUAUCAGAAACCUCCCCUAACCCACUGAGAAGGGAAGCCAGACCCCCAGGUCCAGGUGUAAAUACAAAAGCUAAGACACGGAUCAUUUCAUUGUUUUGUUUUGAGACAAGGUCUUGAGACCCUUCCCUCUCUGCCUUCUUGGUGCUGGGAUGACUGUUGGUGUCACACUGAACCUGCCUGAACAGUGGACAAGGAACUAGCAGGAAGUGGUUUCCAAAGGCUUAGCAGCUUCUAGAAGCCAGCAUAGCUGCUUCUCCAACAGUUGAACACGAAGAUGCCAUGAUGUUUCCUUCCCAAGAGAAGUGAACGGUGGAGCCAGGUGAAGACGGGUAUAUCAUGUGUAGAGCAACAUUACUGGAAUGGCCCUACCCUCUGAGUGCCCAUCCGGGACAGGAGAACAGUGGAAAUAUGGUUCCUUCGAGAGACGGAAAACUCAGCAAUACAGACAAGGCUCAUUGCUGCCCCAUGGAUGAGUCUUCAAAAAGUUACCCUAAAUGAAGAGACUGAACAAAACAGUCCCACACUGUGGACUCUGUUUACAAGAAAUGUCCAGAAGAAGUGCACUUGUCAGUGCCAACUCAGCUGUCAGUGAAGUUGGGGAAGAGAGUCCUGCUCAAGCACAGAGAAUCACUCCAGAUUUCAAAACAAAGCCCUGGAUGACGACAGUGAGAGAGCAGCUUGGCCCAGCCUGCCUGCCCUGGGGAGAGGGGUCCAGCGGCACCAGGGACUAGGAUCUGAACAAUAGACAACCUCGAGUGCAGCACCAAGUCAGAAACAAAUCCAAGGAAAGGAAAGGUGGCUGAGGCCCUAAAGCAGACCAUUCCGUGCCAGGGCACUACCUGGUGUUGGAGAUGAACUGGAGGUCUGGAAGCUGGAAGGAAACAGAAAUUGCCAGCUCUCCCAACUGCUGACAGAAUCGAGGUCAUUCCAAACACAGUGGCAGCAACAGGGACCCACAGUGAGCCUGACCUAAGGCUGAAGACUGUUGCUAUUGACUUUCACAGACUGACUGCAAAGGUGCUGUGCACGCUGGACUAUGGGACCGUAGUUAGCCCUCCUGUGCACCAGAGACAGAAGAACAAGAAUUAUAGUGUACUGAUGACCCAUUAGUCUAGAUGAGAGGGAUGGCACUUAAAAUCUAUAGCUAUAAAUAUUAAUAAGUGUGUGGAGGUGGUGGUUUGAUGGGUCAAAAGACUUGCUGUGCAGGUGUGAGGAUCUGAGUUCGAAUCCCCAGAGCCCACAUGAAAGUCAGAUGCUCAGUAUGUAUAUCUGUAACCCCAGCACUCCCCCGAGGAGAUGGGAGGUAGAGAUAUGAAGCUCCCUAGAAGCUUAUAGUCAGCUAGCCUGGAGUACAUAGCAAGAGACUAUAGUGGGGUGCAAUUAGUGCGCACCGCAAAGGAGUCAGUUUUAAUAGGAUGUUUUAAUAGGAGAGUACUCACGUGACGGAGUCAGUCCCCUACAACCAGGCGAACCAUGGAACAGAGAGAGCUGCCUGCAUGCGAACCUCAUAUUUAAGGUCUUGC